rnacentral:rRNA from 1 species
AUUGAACGCUGGCGGCAUGCUUUACACAUGCAAGUCGAACGGCAGCACGGGCUUCGGCCUGGUGGCGAGUGGCGAACGGGUGAGUAAUGCAUCGGAACGUACCCAUUUGUGGGGGAUAACUACGCGAAAGCGUGGCUAAUACCGCAUACGCCCUGAGGGGGAAAGCGGGGGAUCGCAAGACCUCGCGCUAUUGGAGCGGCCGAUAUCAGAUUAGGUAGUUGGUGGGGUAAAGGCCUACCAAGCCGACGAUCUGUAGCUGGUCUGAGAGGACGACCAGCCACACUGGGACUGAGACACGGCCCAGACUCCUACGGGAGGCAGCAGUGGGGAAUUUUGGACAAUGGGCGCAAGCCUGAUCCAGCCAUGCCGCGUGCGGGAAGAAGGCCUCGGUUGUAACCGCUUUGUCAGGAGAAUACGCAUGGUUAAUACCUACGUGCGGAUGACGGUACCGGCGACUAAGAAGCACCGGCUAACUACGUAGCCAGCAGCCGCGGUAA